CUGGAAUUUGUUCUGGAGAGAGUACUCUAUAAGCAUAUAUUUUACCUACCAAUCUCUACUCUAUGAGCAUAUAAUUUGCCUACCAAAUGAGAAGCACAGUGCUUACCAACCAUCUCAAUUCCCACAAUGGACAUCUAUUGUGGGUGCAAAAAAACAAAAGUAAAAGAUAUUUGUACUUCUCUUUCUGUGAAAAUGUUACUGUACAUGGAUGAUAUGUCAAAUAUAGUUGUGGUUUGCAUAAUGGUUAAUGCUACCAUG